GAUGAACGCUGGCGGCGUGCCUAAUACAUGCAAGUCGAGCGAACGGACGAGAAGCUUGCUUCUCUGAUGUUAGCGGCGGACGGGUGAGUAACACGUGGAUAACCUACCUAUAAGACUGGGAUAACUUCGGGAAACCGGAGCUAAUACCGGAUGAUAUUUUGAACCGCAUGGUUCAAAAGUGAAAGACGGUCUUGCUGUCACUUAUAGAUGGAUCCGCGCUGCAUUAGCUAGUUGGUAAGGUAACGGCUUACCAAGGCAACGAUGCAUAGCCGACCUGAGAGGGUGAUCGGCCACACUGGAACUGAGACACGGUCCAGACUCCUACGGGAGGCAGCAGUAGGGAAUCUUCCGCAAUGGGCGCAAGCCUGACGGAGCAACGCCGCGUGAGUGAUGAAGGUCUUCGGAUCGUAAAACUCUGUUAUUAGGGAAGAACAUAUGUGUAAGUAACUGUGCACAUCUUGACGGUACCUAAUCAGAAAGCCACGGCUAACUACGUG
rnacentral:rRNA from 1 species